GGGGGGAUAGACGGAUCAGAGAGAGGAUAGACAGACAUGGAUGAGAGAGAGAGGAUAGACAUGAGAGAGAGAGAGGAUAGACAUGGGAGAGAGAGAGGAGAUAGACAUGGGAGAGAGAGAGAGGAUAGACAUGGGAGAGAGAGAGAGGAUAGACAUGGGAGAGAGAGAGAGAGGAUAGACAUGGGAGAGAGAGAGAUGAUAGACAUGGGAGAGAGAGAAGAGAUGGACAUGGGAGGGAGAGAGGAUAGACAUGGGAGAGAGAGAGAGAGAUAGGAUAGUCAUGGGAGAGAGAGAGAGGAUAGACAGACAUGGGAGAGAGAGAGGAUAGACAUGGGAGAGAGAGAUAGGAUAGUCAUGGGAGAGAGAGAGAGGAUAGACAUGGGAGAGAGAGAGGAUAGACAGACAUGGGAGAGAGAGAGGAUAGACAUGGGAGAGAGAUGAUAGACAUGGGAGAGAGAGAUGAUAGACAUGGGAGAGAGAGAUGAUAGACAUGGGAGAGAGAGAGGAUAGACACGGGAGAGAGAGAGAGGAUAGACAUGGGAGAGAGAGAGGAUAGACAUGGAAGAGAGAGAGAGGAUAGACAUGGGAGAGAGAGAGAGGAUAGACAUGGGAGAGAGAGAGAGGAUAGACAUGGGAGAGAGAGAGGAUAGACAUGGGAGAGAGAGAGAGGAGAUGGACAUGGGAGAGAGAGAG
ensembl:lncRNA